rnacentral:rRNA from 1 species
GCAUAACGCGAAGAACCUUACCCACCUUUGACAUGUACGGAAGUUACCAGAGAUGGUUUCGUGCUCGAAAGAGAACCGUAACACAGGUGCUGCAUGGCUGUCGUCAGCUCGUGUCGUGAGAUGUUGGGUUAAGUCCCGCAACGAGCGCAACCCUUGCCAUUAGUUGCUACAUUUAGUUGGGCACUCUAAUGGGACUGCCGGUGACAAACCGGAGGAAGGUGGGGAUGACGUCAAGUCCUCAUCGGCCCUUAUAGGGUGGGGCUACACACGUCAUACAAUGGCUGGUACAGAAGGUUGCCAACCCGCGAGGGGGAGCUAAUCCUAUAAAAGCCAGUCGUAGUCCGGAUCGCAGUCUGCAACUCGACUGCGUGAAGUCGGAAUCGCUAGUAAUCGCGGAUCAGAAUGUCGCGGUGAAUACGUUCCCGGGUCUUGUACACACCG